rnacentral:lncRNA from 1 species
CUUUACUAUUAAAUUAUCCGCCACCCCCCCCCCCCCAAGUCUCAAAUCUUGAAGAAUCUCAAACCAGGGACACCAGCCCCGGCGACGACGACCCUGGGCGACUACAAAGCGCAGGCAACCUCGAUUCCCCGAAUUGGUGGAGUGGCCGGCAUCGGUGUCCCCCUGGUUUCACUGGCCUGUUUGAAGGUGCAGAUCAUUCUCCGGGAAGUACAGCUGAAACCAGUCCUCCUCUGCCCUCUGGGGGCCUUCAUUUUCCCAGCCUACAUCUGCUUGUGACUCCAGAAAGACAGACUUCAGAUUGGCCAAGGUGGGGAUUGACUCCCAGGAGCUGUCCAACAACAGUGGCUAGACUUGGUUCUGGAGUCUCCUAGUUGCAAGAAACAAGACCAUUAGGCCAUGUCCUCAGAUGGGUUAUUCAGGGUUAUUUCAGGCCACUUUGGAAAUUCACCCAGGAUGUUUCAGUUGGUGCAGAUUUCAGAUACAUCAUUGCUUCAGUCUCUCAGUGGAACUAAAGAUGGACCACUGUAUUGCAGGUGUGCUGUGGUGAGCAUAGAGAGAUAAGGUAUCAGCUCCCUGUUUAACAAAUUGCACUACUAGCAAUGCAGCUGAAAGUCUUGAGUGAGAUUGUCCCUGAACAUCUCUGGGUGCUGUCUUCUCUGCCUCCCCCAGACUCUGCAUGUUCCUGCCUUCGUUCUUAGUACAUUCUAUUUAAUUAUAUAGUUUUUUUUUGAGAAUGAAAUGUAUUUAGCUUAUUUUAUUUUUAUUGAAGAACAAUUAAUUAAUAUAGUGUAUUAUCAGUUUCAGAGGUAGAAUUUAGUGAUUCAUCAGUUGCAUAUAACAUCCAAUGCUCAUUCCAUCAUGUGCCCUCCUCACUGCCCAUCACGUAGUUACCCCAUCUCCUACUCCACCUCCCCUUGAGCACCCCUCAGUUUGUUUCCUAUGAUUAAAAGUCUUUUAUGGUUUCUCUCCCUUUCUGAUUUCUUCUAAUUUUCCCUCUCUUCCCCUGUGUUCAUCUGUUUUGUUUCUUAAAUUCCACACAUGAAUUAAAUCUUAUGGUAUUUCUUUCUCUAAAUUAUUUUGCUUAGCAUAAUACCCUCUAGUUCCAUCCACGUCAUUGCAAACAGCAAGAUGAAUGGUUAAAGAUGUGGUAAAUAUAUAAAUGGAAUAUUACUCAGCCAUUUAUUAUAUGGUAAUAUACCUCUACCCUAUAGUUUCCUCUAUUACCUCCUUCAGAACAGGAUUGUUAUCUUUUUCAUUUUCGUGCUUUCAUUACACACAGUAGAUUCUUAAUAAAUGUUGAACACUGAAUAUGGGUCUUUUUCUUGGCAGCCACAUGAUUCUGUUUAUAAAUAUUAAACUGACAGCCCAAAUCUUCACAUCUUUUUUUUUUUUUUUUUUUUUUUUUUUUUAUUGGGGCUACUGAUAAGUCAUGGAUUUCUUACCUUUAACUGUUUACUUUUUCUGGUGUCAAAAGGAAAACUUUAUAAAAAAUUAAUUUUAGGGGCUCCUGGUUGGUUGGGCACCUGCCUUUGGCCCAGGUCAUGAUCCCAAGGUCCUAGGAUCUCUGAGCGCUGCAUGGGUCUCCCUGCUCAGCAGGGAGCCUGCUUCUUCUUCUCCCUCUGCCUGCCACUCCCCUGCUUGUGCACUCUCUCUGUCAAAUAAAGAAAUAAAAUCUUUUUUUUAUUAUUUUUUUAAUUUUUAUUUUUUAUUUUUUUAAGAAAUAAAAUCUUUAAAAAAGUUAAUUUUAUCUUAAAAAAUGUUAAUUUGGCCCUGUACUCAGUGGGUCUGGUAAUUGAGUGCAAGUCUGACUUCUAAUUUUUUAAAUGAUUUUAAAUCCAGGUAAUAUAUGUAUAAAGAAUUCGGUUCAAAGGGCACAAAAUGUGUAAAGGAAGUCUCUUUUCUGUUUGUCAUAGAGCCAGUCAUUUCUCUUCUCUGGAUGAAAUUGUUACCUAUUUUCUUGUGCAUUCCUUAGAAAUAGUUUGCAUAUACACACAAAUAUACAUUUUAAAAUAUAUGUACAUUAUUUUACAUUGGAUUUUUAUUUUUUGUCCAGUUUCAUGGAGAAAUUAUUCACAAAUGUAAGUGUAUAUAUUUAAAGUGUAUAAUGUGAUGACUUGAUAUACAUAUACAUUAUGAAAUGAUUACUAAUAUCAAGAUAAUUAACAUAUACAUUGUUUCCCAUAAUUAACUCUCCCUUUUGUU